GCUAACUCCUGUCCAGCAGCCGCGGUAAUACGGAUGAUCCAAGCGUUAUCCGGAUUUAGUGGGUUUAAAGGGUGCGCAUGCGGAAUGUUAAGUCGGCGGGGAAAUUUUGCAGCUCAACUGUAAAAGUGCCUUCGAAACUGGCAUUCUUGAGUAUGGAUGAAGUAGGCGGAAUUUGUGGUGUAGCGGUGAAAUGCAUAGAUAUCACGAGGAACUCCGAUUGCGCAGGCAGCUUACUAAACCAUAACUGACGCUCAUGCACGAAGGCGUGGGGAUCGAACAGGAUUAGAUACCCCUGUAGUC
rnacentral:rRNA from 1 species